ACGUAGGUGGCAAGCGUUGUCCGGAUUUACUGGGCGUAAAGGAUGCGUAGGCGGAUGUUUAAGUGAGAUGUGAAAUACCCGAGCUCAACUUGGGUGCUGCAUUUCAAACUGGAUAUCUAGAGUGCAGGAGAGGAAAGCGGAAUUCCUAGUGUAGCGGUGAAAUGCGUAGAGAUUAGGAAGAACACCAGUGGCGAAGGCGGCUUUCUGAACUGUAACUGACGCUGAGGCAUGAAAGCGUGGGGAGCAAACAGGA
rnacentral:rRNA from 1 species